GGAGGAGUGGCCGAGAGGAUGAAGGCGCCGGUCUUGAAAAUCGGUAAUGUAAAAAAUUCUAGAGUUCGAAUCUCUACUCCUCCG
rfam:Blochmannia floridanus complete genome